GAUGAACGCUGGCGGCGUGCUUAACACAUGCAAGUCGAACGGGAAAUAUUUCAUUGAGACUUCGGUGGAUUUGAUCUAUUUCUAGUGGCGGACGGGUGAGUAACGCGUGGGUAACCUGCCUUAUACAGGGGGAUAACAGUCAGAAAUGGCUGCUAAUACCGCAUAAGCGCACAGAGCUGCAUGGCUCAGUGUGAAUAACUCCGGUGGUUUAAGGUGGACCCGCGUUGGAUUGGCUUGUUGGUGGGGUAACGGCCCACCAAGGCGACGAUCCAUAGCCGGCCUGAGGGGGUGAACGGCCACAUUGGGACUGAGACACGGCCCAGACUCCUACGGGAGGCAGCAGUGGGGAAUAUUGCACAAUGGGGGAAACCCUGAUGCAGCGACGCCGCGUGAAGGAAGAAGUAUCUCGGUAUGUAAACUUCUAUCAGCAGGGAAGAUAGUGACGGUACCUGACUAAGAAGCCCCGGCUAACUACGUGCCAGCCGCCGCGGUAAAAC
rnacentral:rRNA from 1 species